GAUUCUAUAGAAAGAAAAAGGAGAAAAAAAUAACAUGAUUGUUUAUUAUUAUUUAGGAAUAGGUGUUUUUCCUUGUUUUUAAUUGUUGACAGCCAGUAGACACCAUGUUUAUAUUGGUGAAGGUGAAGCAGUGUAGUUGAUUAUAAUGUGAAAUGGAAGUUGUUUUCUGUUGGUGGUGAGCAAACGUGUCCAACAAAAAUAUAGGAUAUGUUUGUUUUCUAAGGGGGAAGGUGAUACAGGCUUUGGUUUUUCCAUCUAUGUUUUGAGGUUGGACUUUAGCACGUCUAUCUCGUUAGCACGUAGGACGCACUGAUUGGUGUCACCUCGUUAGUCAGUAUGUGUUACACCUGUGCUGGCUUGUCCAUCUCGUUAGUGAGAAGGUUUUUCACCUGAGCUGGUCCAGGUUCUAUUUAAGAGUGUCUGGCCCAGUGCUCCAGUUGUCUUGAUAGAUGUGACAAAUCAACACCUUUAGUUGCACUACCGUUUUGGUUUGCUUCCUGUUUUUAAGUUUGUUGUGGGUUUUUCUUUUGUUUGCCUCUUCUUGGGCAGAUUUAGUGGGUCUCAUGGUGGGUGUCUUUUAGGUCCCAGUUGUUGUUACUAGUCAACUUUCAGUGGACACUGAGAGCAAAACUUCAACAUUAUGUUAUUAUACUUUUAUUUUAUAAAAUGGUUGUUUUAUGUAACAGAAUAGAGGGUUCUUAGAACUAUUGUGUCUGUGUGUUCUACUGAGGAUGGGCUUCUGGGAGGAAACACUGACAGGAGAUUUACAAUGUCUUUUGGGUGAUUAAAACCUAAAGAGACAGUAUUCCAGAUUAAGAGUUAAUGUUUCUGUUCUAUAUGGUACCAGGGAGAGAUGACCCCAGGGCCAGACAGCAGAUACUGUCUGCUGAGAAUUAUAAGUAUCUUUCAUACAAAUCUUAACCUUGUGACCCGUUGUAUACAUCUGUUGUUGGUCAUAUAGGUUGAAAUGGGUGUAUCUUAGCUAUAAAAGACCUUUGUACUUUUGUCUCGUGGCUCUCAACGAAUCAUCUGGGGGUGAUUUGUUGACCAGCCAAUAUUAUCGUAGAGCACUCAAUUGAUUCACUUUAUAUGUGUGUGUUGUAUUGACCUGCUCCCUUAUUAAUAAGUGAAUAAAGAUUUAGUUUAAUAAGAAUAAA